rnacentral:rRNA from 1 species
GACGAACGCUGGCGGCGUGCUUCAUACAUGCAAGUCGAACGGGUGCCAAUCAGUGGCAACACUGAGGAAGCACUAGUGGCGAACGGGUGAGUAACACGUGAGGAACUUGCCCCGGACUCUGGGAUAACAGGUGGAAACACCUGCUAAUACCGGAUGCCAUCGGUGGAUCGCAUGGUCUACCGAUGAAAGAACUUCGGUCCGGGAUGGCCUCGCGGCCUAUCAGCCAGUUGGUGGGGUAACGGCCUACCAAGGCGUCGACGGGUAGCUGGUCUGAGAGGACGAUCAGCCACACUGGGACUGAGACACGGCCCAGACUCCUACGGGAGGCAGCAGUAGGGAAUCUUGCGCAAUGGGCGAAAGCCUGACGCAGCAACGCCGCGUGCGGGAAGAAGGCUCUCGGGUUGUAAACCGCUUUUGGCAGGAACGAAAAUGACGGUACCUGCAGAAUAAGGUGCGGCCAACUACGUGCCAGCAGCCGCGGUAAAAC